UUCCCUUCUUAUGGAACAGAAAAUAGUAGCAACUCUAUGAAGUCUAGGGUUCUUAUUUUAUGUGUUCCAAAUUUCACUAUUUGCAGUCCAAGACUUGACUUCAAGAUUCGGAUAACAACAACAAUAAUAAAAACGUUUCGGUCCUAAAUAAAUUGGGUUGCUAAACCUACUAGGUCUUUUGGCAACAUGAACUGGCCUGAGGUAAACAUCUAAAUUUUUUGUUACUUUUUCUUUGUAAUUUUGUAAACAGCCUCGCAGUUCUUUGAUUAUAAGUUUUAGUGUUAUAAAAUGAGGAGAUGUUACGAAUUAUGACAUCCAAUUAAGGAAUUAAUGCUCAUAUUAUGACCCCCCCCCCCCCAAAAAAAAAAAAAAAA